rnacentral:rRNA from 1 species
AGAGUUUGAUCCUGGCUCAGAACGAACGCUGGCGGCAGGCUUAACACAUGCAAGUCGAACGCACCUUCGGGUGAGUGGCAGACGGGUGAGUAACGCGUGGGAACGUGCCCUUCAGUUCGGAAUAACCCAGGGAAACUUGGGCUAAUACCGGAUACGUGCGAGAGCAGAAAGAUUUAUCGCUGAAGGAUCGGCCCGCGUCUGAUUAGCUAGUUGGUGGGGUAAUGGCCCACCAAGGCGACGAUCAGUAGCUGGUCUGAGAGGAUGAUCAGCCACAUUGGGACUGAGACACGGCCCAAACUCCUACGGGAGGCAGCAGUGGGGAAUAUUGGACAAUGGGCGCAAGCCUGAUCCAGCCAUGCCGCGUGAGUGAUGAAGGCCUUAGGGUUGUAAAGCUCUUUCGGCGGGGACGAUAAUGACGGUACCCGCAGAAGAAGCCCCGGCUAACUUCGUGCCAGCAGCCGCGGUAAUACGAAGGGGGCUAGCGUUGUUCGGAAUCACUGGGCGUAAAGGGCGCGUAGGCGGCUUGAUAAGUCGGGGGUGAAAGCCUGUGGCUCAACCACAGAAUUGCCUUCGAUACUGUCUGGCUUGAGACCGGAAGAGGUAAGUGGAACUGCGAGUGUAGAGGUGAAAUUCGUAGAUAUUCGCAAGAACACCAGUGGCGAAGGCGGCUUACUGGUCCGGUUCUGNNGCUGAGNNNCGAAAGCGUGGGGAGCAAACAGGAUUAGAUACCCUAGUAGUCC